GUCACUGAUGACGUCACAAAAAAAAAUCUAUCAUCAGAUUAAUCAUCUGCCUGAAACUGGAAUAAAGAAUGACAGAAUCUGUGAUCUGGAUUAUGAAGAUUAUCCAGGUUCUUCCGGAACCUUCUGGGUCCAGAAAGUUCUUCUGUGGAUCAGAAAGGUUUCAGGUGCUGGGUUGUAAAAGUCUUGGUGAAGGUCUGUGACUCACUGUAACACCCUUUAGUUACACACAGUUUUUAGAGUUUCACAAUGUUGAGCUAUACAGUUGAAUGAGUUGUAUUCUGAUGUAGUUGCUUCUUUUUACCAGCAGGGUGCGCAUUAGUUACACACAAGCGCUAGUCACGGUCACACUUCCUGUGUUUUUUUCCCGGGCUUGAAUGAGAACAGUCAUGCUAUAGCCGAGAGCGAGUUAACGCUGAUAAUCAGAUAAAGAGCGGAUAAAACAUUAUUUUCUUUGGCGUUAUUGGUUCUGAAAGGUAUCCUCACCUAGGAGAAGGUGUUUUGGCUGCCGGACAUCGUCAUUUUAUCGUGUUUUUAUCGAGGGAAAACUCCGAUUUUUCUAAUUCUGUUGUUUUUUCUGUUUUACGGACGACGAGUGGUGAAAUAUAAACCUCCACUAACUCAUAACCAGGUUAGAGAUCACCCAGAUCUGUCAUCACUAACCCACUCACUGAUUCCUCGGACGCUCCUCGUUCUCUCCGUCUUCUGUGAGGUGGGCGGGACUUUGUGGAUCAGUGGAUGAAAGCUCAGAUUAUCAGCGCGGCCAGAUUAAAACACCUGAGGAGAGAAGAAGAGAAGGAGAGCCAUGAUGUCACUGCCGUUUGGUCAGCAGCAGGGGGCGCUCACAGUGUCAGCACCUGAUUUGUCCGCUGAGCACAAUUACAACCUUUCAGAUGCAUCGCUUAUCGACUCGGGCUGUGACCUCCAAUCACCGCGUGACCUUUGAACUCACCCGGCGCUGGGAUAUUCCCGUUCGGGGAGGCUUGUUAUUGACUCAGAGAUGCUGACAGGAGCGGCGGCGGCAGCAGGAGGCGAUUCAGCGACUCAGAAAAGCCGGAGCGGGACAUGAAAGGCUUCCUGUGAGACGAGGACGAGUCCUCUUCAUCCUCUCAUCUUUCCUCUGACUUAAUGUGUCGCUACACGUCUUCAUGUGUGAUACGUGGACACAUUAUGCAUCUUUUACAUAUAGAGGUGAAAGGAAUGAUGGGAUAUGUCGUGUUUCCUCCAGAUGAAAACCAGGCUGACAGAUGUGUCACAUGACCACCAAAAGAAUAUGUUACUGUAAUGUGUGAAUCCUGGACCUUUAAUUUAUCACAUAGACUUAUGAUAACCAACAUAGACUACACCACUGACCUCCACUUUAACCUAUGUUACGGUUGUACGUAAAUCCUGCACCUUUAAUGUAUCACGUAGACUUUCACGUGUCAUGUAGAGUUUUACGUAUCAGGUAGACUUUCACGUAUCAUGUUGACUUUCAAGUGUCACGUAGACUGACGUAUCACAUAUACUUUCACGUAUCACAUAGAGUUUUACAUAUCACGUAGACUUUCACGUACCACGUAGACUUUCGCGUGUCACGUAAACUUUCGCGUGUCACGCAGACUUUCAUGUAUCACGUAGACUUUCACGUACCACGUAGACUUUCACGUAUCACGUAGACUUUCACGUACCACGUAGACUUUCACGUACCACGUAGACUUUCACGUACCACGUAGACUUUCACGUACCGUACCACGUAGACUUUCAUGUAUCACGUAGACUUUCACGUACCACGUAGACUUUCACCUAUCACGUAGACUUUCACCUAUCACGUAGACUUUCACGUACCACGUAGACUUUCACGUACCACGUAGACUACACCACUGACCUUGAUGAAGCUAAAAAGUGCAUCUCAGUUUAUCAGGUUAGUGACUUUUUGUUUGUGUUAAAUGAGAGAUUAAAUAUAUAAACUCUUAAAAACAAGCAGUUGGUUAAAAAUAUGAAUUUUUGAAUAUUGAUACUUUUCUCUCUUGAGAUUAUUCUCUGUUUACAUGAAACGUUUAAUGUCAGUGUUCUGUGGGCGGGGCAGUAAAGGUUUAACUGUCGCAGACUUACUUCACUAAAAAAAAAGGUCAAAACAGAAACGCAUACAAAUCGUUAAUGUGUUCACGAGGACUGUGGGGGAAAAAGACAAAGCACUUCAUCUUCUCUUGUUUUACUUCUGUCUUUGUGUUGUUCCCCUCCUCUCUAAUUGUAAGCCCCGCCCCCUGCUCUGAUGUGUCUCACCUGUGUUUAAUUAGCGUUCCUUUGCCGCCGCUCGUGUUUCCUCUGUGUUUUCUUAAUUCGCUUGUUUUUUAGCCUGGAUUUUUUUCCUCUGGAUUAUUUUUACCUGUGAGUUGAGAUUUUGUUAAGCAUCUAAAAGCGUUAAUAACGUCCUGCUUUUGUUGCUUUCUUUAAAUAAUUGCGAUGUUGGGGAAACGUUGGGGCUGAUGCUUCACGUGGAGCAGAAUCACAGCGCGGCGCUCACACUGAGCUGCCACAGACGCUUGUUUGUGGAUAAAGAUGGAAAUCAGAUCGCGCUCAGUGGGAGACGCUCUUCAUUCCCACUGAUGCGACAGCAGGUGAGAAUCACCUGUUUUUACUGCCGAGAAAUAAGCAGCACAAGUAACAUCAUUUUAGAGAGGAAGGAGAAUUAUUCCAAACAAUUAAUACAGUAAAGAUGCUUUUAAAGCAGUGGUCUGUGGAGUUCAGGCCCAAACUUUAUUAGCAUUUAAACUUCUUUAACUAGUAUUGAUUUAUACGACAAGGAACUGCUCAAUAAGAAUAUAAUUCUUGUAGAUUUUUGAGACUCAUCAGUCCGACAUUUAAUUGUUAAUGAUGUUCAUUUAUAUAGCCGCCAUUUUUCAUUUUCUUUGGAGAUUUAAGAGUCGAUAUAGACGGAAAUAUUUGAACAACAUCAUUAUUAUCACAAGGGAAAAGUCAGCAACUAAAUCUUAUUUUUGUUACUUGUAGGAAGCCAAUUAUUUAGCUUUCUCUCUGUAUAUAUAUAUGUGUGUGUUUGUUGUUGAAUGACUGAAAUAAAAGCUCCGCUUGUUCGUUUGAAAUGUUCUAACGUCACAAUGUUGCAGAACUGAGAAUGUGGACGAUGCGACUUCACUCAGCAAAUCACAGCAGUGAACACGGCGUUGAGUUCACGUUAACGACUCCGCCCUCCAACUUCCAACGUUCUUUAUAAAGCACUUUCAUUUAUAAAUGAACGUCUUCAUCUAUGAACAAAUCAAAUGAAUCAUUAAUACAUCAAGAGUACGUCAGUGCAUUAAAAAACAAUGUAGUGCUGGAGUCUCUGAUUGUUUUCCUUAUUGAUUCAUGUGUUCAUCAUUAUUUUUGGUUCAUUAAAUGUCAGAAAAAAGUUGUU